rnacentral:rRNA from 1 species
CAAUAGCGUAUAUUAAAGUUGUUGCGGUUAAAAAGCUCGUAGUUGGAUUUCUGCCGAGGACGACCGGUCCGCCCUCUGGGUGAGCAUCUGGUUCGGCCUGGGCAUCUUCUUGGAGAACGUUGCUGCACUUGACUGUGUGGAGCGGUAUCCAGGACUUUUACUUUGAGGAAAUUAGAGUGUUCAAAGCAGGCUUAUGCCGUUGAAUAUAUUAGCAUGGAAUAAUAAGAUAGGACUUUGGUACUAUUUUGUUGGUUUGCGCACCAAAGUAAUGAUUAAUAGGGACAGUUGGGGGUAUUCGUAUUCCGUUGUCAGAGGUGAAAUUCUUGGAUUUACGGAAGACGAACUACUGCGAAAGCAUUUACCAAGGAUGUUUUCAUUAAUCAAGAACGAAAGUUAGGGGAUCGAAGACGAUUAGAUACCAU